rnacentral:rRNA from 1 species
UCCCAAGACGAUAUUUUUUCUGCAAUUGAUCUCAGAAGUUAAGCAGGGUUGGGCCUGGCUAGUACUUGGAUGGGAGGCUUCUGGGAAUGCCAGGUGCCACAGGGG